rnacentral:rRNA from 1 species
CACCGCGGUUAUACGAGAGACCCAAGUUGACAGACAAUCGGCGUAAAGAGUGGUUAAGUAAUACAUUACACUAAAGCCAAACAUCUUCAAAGCUGUUAUACGCACCCGAAGACCAGAAGCUCAAUCACGAAAGUGGCUUUAAACUAACUGAACCCACGAAAGCUAGGGUA